rnacentral:rRNA from 1 species
GACGAACGCUGGCGGCGUGCUUAACACAUGCAAGUCGAACGGAAAGGCUCCAGCUUGCUGGAGUGCUCGAGUGGCGAACGGGUGAGUAACACGUGGGCAAUCUGCCCUGCACUCUGGGAUAAGCCUGGGAAACUGGGUCUAAUACCGGAUAGGACCUUUCUCCCCAUGGGGUUUGGUGGAAAGUUUUUCAGUGCAGGAUGAGCCCGCGGCCUAUCCGCUUGUUGGUGGGGGAAUGGCCUACCAAGGCGACGACGGGUAGCCGGCCUGAGAGGGUGAUCGGCCACAUUGGGACUGAGAUACGGACCAGACUCCUACGGGAGGCAGCAGUGGGGAAUAUUGCACAAUGGGCGAAAGCCUGAUGCAGCGACGCCGCGUGUGGGAUGACGGCCUUCGGGUUGUAAACCUCUUUCAGUAGGGACGAAGCGCAAGUGACGGUACCUGCAGAAGAAGCACCGGCUAACUACGUG